UGCAAAAAGGGGAAGUCAAGGCACUGGUAUAUCCUAAGAAAGGAAAAUAAAGCAGAAGUUCCCUUCUGCUUUAGCAUAGUUAAAAGUCUUAUGUGGAUAGUUUUCUUUAUCUGUAGAAAAUAUUAAAAAAUAAAAACUCUUCAUUAAAUUAUAUCUGUUAGGAAUGAAAUUACCUCUCCAUAUAAAAGAACUUCAGUGAAUGAUCUUGGUAAUUACUUUUGUUGAAAAUAUAAUUUGAGAAAAUUAAUGUUAUUUUGUAAUCAAAUUACAUCUAUUAUGAAUAGUAAAUAAAGUGAAUAAUCAGGGUACCGUAUUUAACUUAAAUUGAUCUGGCAAUAUUGACUGGUAGUGAGGAUAAAGAAAGUUGACAUUCAUACCUGAAUUUACAAAAGCUAAUUUAUAGAAUUCAGCCUGACGAACAUUCAUUUUACAGGAAUGACUGUAAAUAUUUAUAUAAAUAUUGUAUUCUUUGUUAUUUACUGUAUACUACGGGAAAAAUUAGAAUAGGUAUUUCAAAAGUAUGUUACAUACACAUACUUUAUCAUAAAGCUCUAUUUCACCCCAGUUUUGUUUGUGUUAGGAAGAAAUUAUUAAAGUUAUUAAGAACUAGCUGAGAAGUAUUGUUGAAUGCUUUCAUAAAUAAUGCACUGUACAGUUUUCUUAUGCAACAAUGUCUUUUUCCAGGUUUUUUUAUAAUGCUUGUGAGGCACACUGUUUCAUGAGGAGUGGCUGUGCAACACACAUAAUCAAAUUAAAGUACAUACAGGUCUGUAUGUAUUAAUCUGCUGUGGAAAGAAAAGGAGAGAGAACCCCCAUUACAAUAUUAUUGUAAAAAACCUGGUUAUGUAUUCCAUGCAUGAUAAAAGACCUGGAUGUUACAUGGACGAACGUGACAAGACCAUACUCAACCAGCUUUCGCAAGACCCUGUCUACUGUCCCAAUCCGCAGACGUUGAUACCCCAAUCAGCGGAUUUCCUUUCUCUUUUACAAUAUACCUGGAGAAAUCACAGAUCAAGGACUCGACAGUAAUGCCUCUCUACAGGACAUCAACACACGUCACAACUAUGGUCACUUCUGCAAUUUAUACUUUACCUUCUCAGGAAUGUGCCCUUUCAAACUGCAGUAAGCAGAGGAAACAUGAAAAGGGUGCCACCUGUAACGCACCAUCACAUUGUGUCUCAUGCCAGUCAUGCAACCACACAUGAAUCUACAGAGAAUUGUCCAGCAGCAGAUAGCACCUGCAGCAACAGGUCUAGUGCUGCCAAUGCAAUUGACAGGGACAUUAUGCAAAGUUCUGCCGGAAGAAGACAAUAGAGCUAAACAGAGUACCACUACCAAUGCCAAGCCUACUUACACUGUUCUCUCUCUCCAAGUAAGAAUCUCAGUUGUUGUUGGACACAGCAGCUAAACUCCGUUUCCCUCCCGUGGUAACAUCACACCCAGGUGCCGAUACCUCUGUUAGGGGCCCUCAACAUCUGGACCUUCUGCAGAUUCCUAGGAACACACUACAACCCCCUACCAGUUACCAGAUGUUCACUGGAAAUGGCUCUUACAAUGAUACCUGCCUUAAGAUCCUACACAGCCACUCCCACCUUAGCUGAGAGAUCUGUUCAGCGAGGUUCCAAGUUCUUCAUCCAAACACCACUGCUGUCAUACAGCCACUGCAAAGAGUGACAUUUUUCUGCCAGUUUCCCAGACCUAUCCUGGAUGUUGCAAUGUCAGUAGGUGUUCAGCUAUGCCUCUUCAUGCCACCACAUUGCCUGCUGAAGACAUAUUUUCUAAAAAUAAGAGUUCAAGGAUGUGCUAAUCAAAGAGGAAGAACUGAAGAAAGCUCCACUCUAGGGAGUGGCAUCCAUCCAAUGCACAGCUAGAUACCAUAUGCCUUCCGGGGACAAUUCAAGGCAGAGCUCGAGUUCAUGGUAGGUCAUGGUAUCAUUAAGACUGCCUGUGAUAAAACUAGCUCAUCUCAGUACUUAUGGACAAAGGCAUCCAAAUCACCGUUGACCUCAAGAACCCCAACAGCCAAGUAAAAGGCAUAGCCCACCCAUCACCCUCAGCGUUGUCUAGCGUCUGCAGUGUUGAUCAUCAAGGCCAAAUUUUUCACCUGUGCAGGUGCCCUGCAUGGGUACUGGCAAAUGCAACUUGCAGAGGAGAACCAAAAGUUAACAACAUUCAUCAUUCCCUAAGGCCAUUUCCAGCACUGCAGAUGUCCAAUGGGACUUGCAGCUACAGGAGAUACCUACUGCCUUCGAGGAGACUGGCUGUACAAGGUGUCCGGAACUGCGUCGAGGUAGUUGACAACAUCGUGCUAUUCGACAAGGUUUUCCCCAGCCUUCUACUCUGAAUCCAUGGGAUGUUGACAAGGUCCUGCAAAUUGGCAUCACACUUGUCUUGUAACAAGACAUUUGUGGUUGCCACAUCCAACGUUACCUCCUGCAGCCUUCAGAUCUCCAAAGAUGGCGUUUCAGCAGACCCCAGCAAACCAGCAGAAAAAAGGAUUUCCCUACCCAGAUGAACUUGAUGGACAUUCAUGGGGUUGGUUAGUGAACUAAAUUGGCUGACUUUGCACCUGAGAUAGCUAACAUAGCCUAGCCUCUCGGAAUUCUUAUGAGCCCCAAGCAUGCAUUCGUCUGUACCACAGAUCAGGUCGAAGCAUUUCGUUGAAUAAAGACUGCCCUGGCUAGCCCACCAAUCUUUACCUCCUUUGAUCCAGCCCUCUCAGUUAUCCUACUAACUCACGCUUCUCAACUCGAUGGACUAGGAUAUGUCCUUCUACAGGAUCACGGCAACUGAAGACUCCACUUACUACAGUGGGCUCUCGUUUUCUAUCAAACGCCUAGAUGCAUUAUACCACGGUCAUGCUGGAGAUGUUAGCGGUAACCUCAGUUAUGUCCAAAUCCAAACUGUACCUGAUAGGCCUCCAACAUUUUACAUUGAUGACAGACUGCUGACCCACUGGUAUCAUUUCUAUACCAUUAAUAUUUGGAUACGUUGAGAACCCAUUUGCAACAACUCAAAAGAAAAUCUCACCGUACCCGUUUGCAGUGUUUCACAAGAAAAUCUCGCCGUAUCUGUUCAAAGCCAAGUCACACCCCACAGGAUGAAAUACACUGUUGAGGCUGGUCCAUACAUCAGGACCAAAGCUAUUGCUCAUGCAGCAGCCCAAGAGGAUGACACCUCAACCCAGGAGAUGGCGAUAGAAUUAUUCAAGAUUAUGUUUCAGCGUGGGAGGACCCGUCGUACAUCCGUCUUCGGCAUGUGUGCUCUCAAGAUUUCAUAGCAAUCGUUAAAGCUUGCAUAGUUGCUCCUAACCUGGAAACUACUGGACAGCCUCUCAGCUGAAGCUUCAUUCUUACUUGAUGGAGCAAAGAUUGCCGUGCCACACUCUCAUAACUCCAUGUGACACAACAAAUACUGUCCAAGCUUGGGAGACUUGCCAGGUUUUACAACCUAAGAAUUGCUUGAGAAAGCCAACGACUGCGAUUGCCAUGCUGCCACCAGAGCUGAACUUGUACAGAGGUUGUACAAUCAACAUGCACAUCCCCUACUGAGGCUAUAAGUUGGACAAAGGUCAGGAUCCAAUUUCUCACUGUUGGGACAAGGUUGGGACUGUCAUAAGUCAUGGCAGGUCAAGGGAAUAAAAAGUACUUAGAUCUCCCCAGCAGAUGAGUAUACUGGAGGAACUGGAGCUGACCCUCUACUUAACAUCCCUGUGGACCUUCACGUGGACACAAAAGAGUCCUUAAAGAGUCCUCUGACAGCCCUCCUACAGGCUCAUGUAGAUCUCUCAAGUUUUCAAGAUGAAGAACCCACUCAAGGUGGGACUAAGUGCAUGAAGGGGGAAGGGAGGUGUAGAUACUAGAAUCUAUAUGUAAAAGUUAAAUAUAUCUUAGUUUUACCAGACCACUUGAGCUGAUUAACAGCUCUCCGAGAGCUGGGCCGAAGGAUUAGCUAUUUUUACGUAACUAGGAACCAAUUGGAUACCUAGCAACGGGAUCUUCAGCAUAUUGUGGGAUCCGAACCACAUUAUAUCGAGAAAUGAAUUUCAAUCACCAGAAAUAAAUUCCUCUGGUUCCGCGUUGGCCGAGCCGAGAAUCGAACUUCAGACCACCGGAUUGGCAGCCAAGCGCGAAAUCGACUCAUCCAACAUAGAACUAAAGAAUCUGUAUGUAACAUGCAUGUGUCAUUGUAUAAUGCAUUCUCACCUUGAUAAAAUUGGUAAGAUGCAACUAUAUUCUUAGUUCCAUGUGGGCCGAGUGCAUUUCGCGCUUGCUACUAAUCCAGUGGUCCUUAGUUCGAUUCUUGGCGUGGCCAAUGUGGAACUAGAGGAUUUAUUUCUGGUGAUAGAAAUUAAUUUCUCUAUACGAUGUGGUUCGGAUUCCACAAUAAGCUGUAGGUCCCAUUGCUAGGUAACCAAUUGGUUCCUAGUCACGUAAAAAAUAUCUAAUCCUUUGGGCCAGCCCUAGGAGAGCUGUUAAUCAGCUCAGUGGUCUGGUAAAACUAAGAUAUACUUAACUAUAUUCCUGCCUCACUCGUAUAUUGAUAAGUGGCAACCAAAUACUUUGAAAUCCAAUGCCUAACAGUAUGCUACUUCCCCUCUCCAAGUUUGGUUGCUCAUAUGCAUUGUCCUUGUCAAAUUUGUAACAUAACCUAAUAAAGAACCUACAUUUUAGAUGAGCUUGUUUUAUGUUUCAUCCUAAUCAACAGAUGACAUUCAACGAGUAAUAACUGGCCUAUAAAAACCUUCAAACUAGAAUAUACAUAUAGCAAUAUAAAAACUCUCAAACCUGAAAACCCUUUACAGCCCAUUUUCAGCUAGGUACUAACACCAAUAUUUAAAAUUCAGUGCCCUUCUCACCCCUUAUACAGUAUUCCCAGCAUUACUGUAUUGUCUAAUCCCUUUUGCAGUAUUCUCAGCACUACUGUAUGGUAUAACCCCUUAUACAGUACUCCCAGCUCUACUCAAUAGUGUUGUCUAAAGUCUGUCUUCUACAGUAUCCCUACAGGAUUCCAAAGCUCCCCUUUGCCUGGCAUUAUUGUUCCAUGAGAUGUUGAGAUCCCUGGCAGCUUAACUGUAGGUCACAUCCUGGGCAGGAUAUAGUUGUAGGGACCCAUACAUCAAACAAGGGAACCAGUCGACUGCCAGAUGAAUGGUGUGGUAAUGGUAUCACCAUUGGGAGUUCUAUUUGCACAUCAUUGAUGAGAGGCCCUCAGCAAUAUGAUCCCCUUACCCCUUCAAUACCAUCAUUAUAUUAAUCAACACCAAGGAAACGUAGAAACCUGGAGAAUGUGGCAAUGGGAUCGCCAUUGGGAGUUCUGUUUCCCAACUUCUAUGUGGACAUCGUUGAUGAGAGGUCCUCAGUAAGAUCCCCUGCCCCCUUGGUAACAACACUUUCUUCAGAAUCAAGGAGAAUCUCGUUGAUGAGAGG